GACGAACGCUGGCGGCGUGCUUAACACAUGCAAGUCGAACGGUGACGAGGAGCUUGCUCCUCCGAUCAGUGGCGAACGGGUGAGUAACACGUGAGCAACCUGCCCCAGACUCUGGGAUAACAGUUGGAAACAGCUGCUAAUACCGGAUACGAGACGGAGAGGCAUCUCUACCGUCUGGAAAGUUUUUCGGUCUGGGAUGGACUCGCGGCCUAUCAGCUAGUUGGUGAGGUAAUGGCUCACCAAGGCGACGACGGGUAGCCGGCCUGAGAGGGCGACCGGCCACACUGGGACUGAGACACGGCCCAGACUCCUACGGGAGGCAGCAGUGGGGAAUAUUGCACAAUGGGCGAAAGCCUGAUGCAGCGACGCCGCGUGAGGGAUGACGGCCUCGGUUGUAACUCUUCUAGCAGGAAGAAGCGCAAGUGACGGUACCUGCAGAAGAAGCACCGCUAACUACGUGCCAGCAGCCGCGGUAAAA
rnacentral:rRNA from 1 species